AACGCUAGCUACAGGCUUAACACAUGCAAGUCGCGGGGUAACGAGAGGGAAGCUUGCUUUCCUUGUCGACGACCGGCGCACGGGUGAGUAACGCGUAUCCAACCUGCCCAUUACCACGGGAUACCCCGUCGAAAGGCGGCCUAAUACCGUAUGCAGUCGUCAGAUGACAUCAGAGGACGACGAAAGGAUUGGCGGUAAUGGAUGGGGAUGCGUCUGAUUAGGUAGUUGGAGGGGUAACGGCCCACCAAGCCAUCGAUCAGUAGGGGUUCUGAGAGGAAGGUCCCCCACAUUGGAACUGAGACACGGUCCAAACUCCUACGGGAGGCAGCAGUGAGGAAUAUUGGUCAAUGGGCGCGAGCCUGAACCAGCCAAGUAGCGUGAGGGACGACGGCCCUAUGGGUUGUAAACCUCUUUUAUGCGGGAAUAAAAUGUUUGACGUGUCAUUCAUUGUAGGUACCGCAAGAAUAAGGACCGGCUAAUUCCGUGCCAGCAGCCGCGGUAAUACGGAAGGUCCAGGCGUUAUCCGGAUUUAUUGGGUUUAAAGGGAGCGUAGGCCGCAAGUCAAGCGUGUUGUGAAAUGCAGGGGCUCAACCUCUGGAUUGCAGCGCGAACUGGCAUGCUUGAGUACGCACGAGGUAGGCGGAAUUUGUGGUGUAGCGGUGAAAUGCUUAGAUAUCACGAAGAACUCCGAUUG
rnacentral:rRNA from 1 species